UACGUAGGGUGCGAGCGUUGUCCGGAAUUACUGGGCGUAAAGAGCUCGUAGGUGGUUUGUCGCGUUGUCCGUGAAAACUCACAACUCAAUUGUUGGCGUGCGGGCGAUACGGGCAGACUGGAGUACUGCAGGGGAGACUGGAAUUCCUGGUGUAGCGGUGGAAUGCGCAGAUAUCAGGAGGAACACCGGUGGCGAAGGCGGGUCUCUGGGCAGUAACUGACGCUGAGGAGCGAAAGCGUGGGGAGCGAACAGG
rnacentral:rRNA from 1 species